AUGUAGCUAGCUUCUCUGCAGUCUGCAUACACAUAUCCCCAUAGCGGAGGAGAUCCAUCGUCGUCCAUCGAUCAGGAGACGGGUUCCAUGGCGAAACAGCAGCACCACCAGGCUGUUUGCAUGGUGUUUCUGAUGGCCUUUAUCAUCCUCUCUGCCAUGCACGCUGUCCCAGUGGAGGCAGGGCGAGCGCUACGUGAGGCAUCCUCUGUUUCAAGAUUUGACCCCCUGGACCCAAACAGCAGGCAUUCUGUGCCUGCUGGCGAGCCAUACACUCGCCCAGGAUGCACGAACGUCUACCAAUGCCAUGGAGCACCAUAAGCCUUGCUUGCUUAUAAGGCAGCUAGUCCGAUCCAGCGCAUAUAGCACAUGCUUACAUGCCUAAAAUAAAAAGCCUAGCUGAACCGCAUGGCGUCUUGUGUGUGCACAUGAAUUGUGCAUAUGUGUUAUUUGCCCAAAUCCUGGGGAUGCUAAUCCCUGCGAUUGAAGCAAUCGUGUUAUUUAUGAUAAAGUGUGUGUAAAGACAUGUAAGUGGCUGGUGUAAUUGAUAUGGUACUUAUAGAUAUCCAUAUAUAUAUACCUAAGAGCAUCUCUAACGGUUUUGCAA